rnacentral:rRNA from 1 species
GACGAACGCUGGCGGCGUGCCUAAUACAUGCAAGUAGAACGCUGAAGGAGGAGCUUGCUUCUCCGGAUGAGUUGCGAACGGGUGAGUAACGCGUAGGUAACCUGCCUGGUAGCGGGGGAUAACUAUUGGAAACGAUAGCUAAUACCGCAUAACAGUAGAUAUUGCAUGAUAUCUGCUUGAAAGGUGCAAUUGCAUCACUACCAGAUGGACCUGCGUUGUAUUAGCUAGUUGGUGAGGUAACGGCUCACCAAGGCGACGAUACAUAGCCGACCUGAGAGGGUGAUCGGCCACACUGGGACUGAGACACGGCCCAGACUCCUACGGGAGGCAGCAGUAGGGAAUCUUCGGCAAUGGACGGAAGUCUGACCGAGCAACGCCGCGUGAGUGAAGAAGGUUUUCGGAUCGUAAAGCUCUGUUGUAAGAGAAGAACGAGUGUGAGAGUGGAAAGUUCACACUGUGACGGUAGCUUACCAGAAAGGGACGGCUAACUACGUG